CGCCGCGUGGCUCAGUGGCUAGCGCUGCUGUCCACCAAUUUUGGGGUCUCGGGUUCAAUCCCCCGUGGGGUAA